GGAACCAGGAAUAAUAAAGGACCCUUACCUGGAAAACACUGCCCAACCCAGGGUGCUAACAAACUUAUUUCCCAGUAGUAUCCAAAAGGAACUGUAUGAUGUGGUAUUCUCCAAUUCUCGUAUAGGGAAUUUCUGAAUCAAACAAUAAUUUUGCCAACACACUAUCAUAAAUCCCAAUACAUGGAAAUCAAUAAGACCUAUAACAAGAAUUGUGGAGACACUAACUGAGCAGAU